rfam:Colletotrichum incanum strain MAFF 238704 contig752, whole genome shotgun sequence.
AAGGUAUUAUCUUAACGUAAAGAAGAGCAUUACAACUUGCUAAAAUAUGAGUUCGAAUCUCAUAUACCUUA